AUACAUUUUUUUUCCCAAAUAUUUGCUGCUAUUAAAGGUACUUGGUGGAAUAUUUUGAAUCAUCCUUUGAUCUUCAUUCUGCUCUGUAGAACAGAGAAGUGGGGUUAGAUGUGCAGGAUAAAGCACUAAUUGACCCAAAAGAACUUUGGCUCCAUUCAUUAGCUUAUGGAUGAAUGGGGAAGGUUGAUCGCUUGGCAAAACUGCCAAGUUAGCUGUCUUUGCUCAUGGGAGGCAGCCUAAGACUUGUUGGAGAUGUAAGUGAAAUGGCAUUUUGCUAAGCAGAUGGUGAAAGGCCAGUGCCAGGCUGUGCAGGGCAGCUGGGGGGAGAGGUGAGGGAGAAGAUGCCAGUACUAGCGAGAGGACAGACAUCAUCCCAACUUUGUCCUGGUGGUCAGAGUGCAAUGGCAAGAAGCUGGUCUGCUUAGGGCAUGCCAUAACAGCAUUUCCAGAGCUAUUCAGGUUCUGGCUUCGCCUAAUGUCACCUGGAAAUGUGCCCCAUGGGUCUAUCCACUUGAAUCCAGAACCCUUAAUUUGCCUCCCGAGUGACCUGUGUUCUCCUAGAAGCCCAACUCUUUCAUUGACUGCCAUGUGGUCUGUCAUAUAACUAGGAUGCAAUCCAUUGAUCGCUUUGAAAAUUAGGAUCAAAGCUGCAAGCUGAUGUUGGAAGCUGGCUUACAGGGAACUGCAGCAGAGAUUGUAUAACAAGAUCCUGGGAGAGGAGGGAUGAUGCAGGCUGUUUCGGACAGAGGCAUGCAGUACUAUGUAUAGGUUCAAGCUAAUUACGCCUGAAUUAAACUGUAUUUGUUUUCUACAGCUUAUUUGCCAUCCUUCAUUUUUCCUCUUCCAGUAUCCAGCAAUUUUUUGUUUGAAGAGUUUAGAACAGCAUCCAGUCAUCACAGAUAUCUCCUUACGUGGAGCAGAAGCGAAGUGAUCCCAUGUUACCUGUUGCCACAUGAAGAGUUUUGGGCGUGUCUUAUCUGAGAUACCUUCAUGCAUGUGAGGGGACUGAGUUUCAGGGAGGAUAGUCAUGAGAAACGAUUUGGAGUUGUUCCACAUGAAAGAACCUCUGAAGUGGAUUACAGUGAAGUACAAAGGUUGUUUUUAUAGUGUUUUUCAGCUGGCGAUGAAGAGUUAUAUUAUGAAAGCUCUUAAGCAAUGUGAGUUCCUAAAUCCAUUUCUCAAAAGUGACUUGGCAUUUUUAAUCGCUGAGGUAUUCUUGGUGGUUACAGCUACUGGGUAAUGUAGAUAUAGUUUCAGUGUGGUGUGUGUGAUUUAAGGACCUCCUUAUAAACAAGCAGAAUGUAUAGCGUUCUGGUAAUUAUGAACUACUUAGAAUCAUUAAGUUAAUAUCUGCUUCUGUAUCUUAUAUAAACCUCCAUUUCAUCAUACAGAUGCUUUGUGUGUGUGUGUGAUCUUUCAUAUGAUUCAUCCACUAAUGGGUAAUCAUAGUAAAAAAUUAUUGAAGAUGGAAAGAAAUACAUCACUGUUUUCACUUGAAGUGCCUGGAGGGCAAACGUCAC